CUUCUUUACACUUAUUUGACACAUACAAUAUGCUAAGUAUGUGCAAAUUAUGUGCAGGAAAAAUAAAAAUUUAAAACUUUUUUUCAAGAAACUCAACUCAUUGGAGGAAUAGUUCAGAGUCAGUGUUCUAAUUGACAAAGUAUGCAUGGAUUAGAGGUUAUUGGUUCACAAAGAAGGGUAUCAUAUCAUAAGCAAUAAAACAGAUUUGAUUUGGUUUAUGUAAUAGACAAAUUUUGACAUCUGUCUUGAAGGAUGAGUAUGAGUUUAUGGACAAAGGGAAUAGUUUUCAUAAAGUACCUAAAACUGUAAUUGAGCAAACAAAGCUUCAUUGUUGCAAUGAUCAAGAUAAGGUACCCUCUAGAAUAAGACCUGGGACAACUGUCAUAAGGAUGGAGCAGCAGAACUCAAAAGUUCUCAAGAUAAAGUUAAACUGUAUUGAGAAGACUUCAUGACCAGUACAUGUGGUGUGAGGAAGAGGCAAUCAUUGAUGGAACUCUCCAAGAUUCACAAGAUGUAAAGAGAGGAUGAUGUGUUGAGUAUAACAGAGUGUGAGAUUCUGUGAAAAGAGGUAACUAUUAACAGCCAUAUAUGUGGUCUAAAAUGUGGUCUAUAUUGGAAAGAGAAAAUUGGGAAUCCACAGUGAUAGUUAAGGUUGGAGCAUAAAGAAAGUCAGCAGGGAGGUGUAUUAAAAAAAAAAACCAAAAACCUCACAUCUGGAAGAAAAAGAUGGCCAAGAAUUAAAUACGUGGAAAUUCAGCAUUUAAGAGUCAUUAGGGGGAAAAAAGUACAGAGUAGGAAGGGAACUAUAGUCUUAACAAGAAGGAAGUAAGGAAUGGGAAAAGUUGCAAGAAGAAUGAAGUGGUAAAUUGUGAUAAAUAGUACAGUGACUCAUUACAAUGAAGAUAAUGGAUAAGUGGUCCAUUGACUUUGGCGUUUAGAUCAUUAGAGACCUUAGUGGAAACAAUUUCAGUGAAAGUAGUAGGAAUGGGAGUUGUCAUUUUUAGGUCUCCUGAAUUGAAAGAUAAGGGGUAGAGCAAUGAGUGUAAUUUUUUUCCCCAAGAGCUUGAAUGUGAGAUGUGAUAAAGAUAAUUUAACCAAUAAAAAAAAUGGCAAAAGUUAAUAAAGAAAGGAU
rnacentral:lncRNA from 1 species